rnacentral:rRNA from 1 species
GUCCACGCCGUAAACGAUGUCAACUAGCCGUUGGGAGUCUUGAACUCUUAGUGGCGCAGCUAACGCAUUAAGUUGACCGCCUGGGGAGUACGGCCGCAAAGGUUAAAACUCAAAUGAAUUGGACGGGGGCCCGCACAAGCGGUGGAGCAUGUGGUUUAAUUCGAAGCAACGCGAAGAACCUUACCAGGCCUUGACAUGCAGAGAACUUUCUAGAGAUAGAUUGGUGCCUUCGGGAACUCUGACACAGGUGCUGCAUGGCUGUCGU